rnacentral:rRNA from 1 species
CCUACGGGGGGCUGCAGUAGGGAAUAUUGGGCAAUGGUCGAAAGACUGACCCAGCCAUGCCGCGUGCAGGAUGAAGGCGCUCAGCGUUGUAAACUGCUUUUGAUAGGGAAGAACGGCCUUUCUGCGGAGAGGUGUGACGGUACCUACAGAAUAAGCACCGGCUAACUCCGUGCCAGCAGCCGCGGUAAUACGGAGGGUGCAAGCGUUGUCCGGAUUUAUUGGGUUUAAAGGGUGCGUAGGUGGCUUUUUAAGUCUGACCUGAAAGUGGGCCGCUU